rnacentral:rRNA from 1 species
UGCGAACUCCUACGGGAGGCAGCAGUGGGGAAUCUUCCGCAAUGGGCGCAAGCCUGACGGAGCAACGCCGCGUGAGUGAAGAAGGUCUUCGGAUCGUAAAGCUCUGUUGACGGGGACGAACGUGCGGAGUGCGAAUAGCGCUUUGUAAUGACGGUACCUGUCGAGGAAGCCACGGCUAACUACGUGCCAGCAGCCGCGGUAAUACGUAGGUGGCGAGCGUUGUCCGGAAUCAUUGGGCGUAAAGGGAGCGCAGGCGGGCCGGUAAGUCUUACUUAAAAGUGCGGGGCUCAACCCCGUGAUGGGAGAGAAACUAUCGGUCUUGAGUACAGGAGAGGAAAGCGGAAUUCCCAGUGUAGCGGUGAAAUGCGUAGAUAUUGGGAAGAACACCAGUGGCGAAGGCGGCUUUCUGGACUGCAACUGACGCUGAGGCUCGAAAGCCAGGGGAGCGAACGGGAUUAGAUACCCCGGUAGUCCUAUC